GCGCCCUUAGCUCAGCUGGAUAGAGCAACGGCCUUCUAAGCCGUAGGCCGCAGGUUCGAAUCCUGCAGGGCGCA
rnacentral:tRNA from 1 species